UGGGGAAUAUUGGACAAUGGGGGAAACCCUGAUCCAGCCAUGCCGCGUGAGUGAUGAAGGCCUUAGGGUUGUAAAGCUCUUUUACCAGGGAAGAUGAUGACGGUACCUGGAGAAUAAGCACCGGCUAACUUCGUGCCAGCAGCCGCGGUAAUACGAAGGGUGCUAGCGUUGUUCGGAAUCACUGGGCGUAAAGGGUGCGUAGGCGGCUUCGCAAGCCAGAGGUGAAAGCCUGGAGCUUAACUCCAGAACUGCCUUUAGAACUGCGUAGCUAGAGUGUCGGAGGGGAUAGCGGAAUUUCUAAUGUAGCGGUGAAAUGCGUAGAUAUUAGAAGGAACACCGGUGGCGAAGGCGGCUAUCUGGACGACAACUGACGCUGAGGCACGAAAGCGUGGGGAUCAAACAGG
rnacentral:rRNA from 1 species